GGUUGUUUCACUUGAUCAAACAAAGUACAAAAUUUUUUAAGUUUGAUGACGUCCAACUUACUCUUCAUUGGUUGCUUGUAUUUUGGUGCCAUACCUAAGAAACUAUUGCCUGCAAUGAGGUCAUAAAGAUUGACCCUGUGUUUUUCAUUUAGCUUCUAUGAGUUUUUCUGUCUUAGAUCCAAUUCAGAGUUAAUUUUUGAAUCAGAAUAUGCUCUGUAACAAGAUGCCAGAUGAUUUGUAUGCACAAUAAAAUUAAGAAGCACUGAUUUAAAUUACUAGUAAAUUCUUAUUUCCUUGCCUUACAAUCAUUUCAGAAGCUUUAAAAAAUUAUGACUAGGAGUUGCUGUUGUAAGCUCAGUGGUAACAAACCCAACUAGUGUCCAUGAGGAUGUGGGUUUGAUCCCUGGGUUGAAGGAGCUGGCGUUGCUGUGAGCUGUGGUAUAGGUCGAAGACGUGGCUAAAAUCCCACAUUGCUGUGGCUAUGGAGUGGACUGGCGGCUACAGCUCUGAUUCGACCCCUGGUCUGGGAACUUCCAUAUGCCAAGGUUGUAGCCCUAAAAGACCAAAAAAAAAAAAAAAAACCCACAAAGUUAUGCCUGAGCCUUACAGAUAAAACAAUUUUACUUAGCCUGAGCUUUUUUUUUGUUUGUUUAACCUUUUUAGUUGACUUGGAUUUACAUUUUAUCAUCUGGCUAUCAUGUCUGAGGCAUUUAAUUUGUCCCCCUGCCCCUUUUUUUUCUCUUUAAGGCCAUAACAGCAGCAUAUGGAAGUUCCCAGUCAUGAAAGGGGAAAAAGUGCUGAAUGAUGAAAAAAAUGCUCCAACAUAAAUGAUCCUUGGAAACAUGCUAAGAAGCCUGACACAAAAGGUCACAUAAAGGCACAUCUCAUUAUGCUUCAAAAAUACUACAUUUAUGGAGUCCCCACUGUGGCACAGUGGGUUAAGGAUCUGGCAUUGUCUCAGUAGCAGCUCAGGUUGUUGCCGAGGCAUGGGUUCGAUUCCCAGUCCAGCACAGUGGGUUAAGGAUCUGGUGUUGCCACAGGUGUGGCAUAGGUCACAUCUGCAGCUUGGCUUCAAUCCUUGGCCCAGGAACUUCCACAUGCUGUGGGUGUAGUGCCCA
ensembl:lncRNA